rnacentral:tRNA from 1 species
GCAAGUAUAAUUUAAGGGUAAAAUACUAGCCUUCCAAGCUAGUUUUGAGAGUUCAAAUCUCUCUACUUGCU